UACGUAGGGGGCUAGCGUUGUCCGGAUUUAUUGGGCGUAAAGGGCGCGUAGGCGGCCAGCACAAGUCAGUUGUGAAAUCUCCGAGCUUAACUCGGAAAGGUCAACUGAUACUGUGCGGCUAGAGUGCGGAAGAGGCGAGUGGAAUUCCCGGUGUAGCGGUGAAAUGCGCAGAUAUCGGGAGGAACACCAAUGGCGAAGGCAGUUCGCUGGGACGGUACUGACGCUGAGACGCGAAAGCGUGGGGAGCAAACAGG
rnacentral:rRNA from 1 species